GUGCGUGGUUCUCUGCACCUUGCACCCUUCUUAGAGGGACAAGCGGCUCCUAGCCGCACGAAACAGAGCAAUAACAGGUCUGUGAUGCCCUUAGAUGUCCGGGGCCGCACGCGCGCUACACUGAAGGAAGCAGCGUGUUUUUAUCCCUGUCUGUAAAGACUGGGUAACCCGUGGAACCUCCUUCGUGAUUGGGAUAGGGGCUUGCAAUUGUUCCCCUUGAACGAGGAAUUCCCAGUAAGCGCGAGUCAUAAGCUCGCGUUGAUUACGUCCCUGCCCUUUGUACACACCGCCCGUCGCUACUACCGAUUGAAUGAUUUAGUGAGGUCUUCGGACCGAUACCCGGAGCGGCCUUUCGGUUGCGCCGGUGUGUUGGAAAGAUGACCAAACUUGAUCAUUUAGAGGAAGUAAAAGUCGUAACAAGGUUUCCGUAGGUGAACCUGCGGAAGGAUCAUUA
rnacentral:ncRNA from 1 species